GCUUCCGUAGCUCAGUUGGUAGAGCACCACCAUGGUAAGGUGGGGGUCGCCGGUUCGAGUCCGGCCGGAAGCU
rnacentral:tRNA from 1 species